ensembl:snRNA U6 U6 spliceosomal RNA
GUGUUCAAUAAAUAUUUGAAUGAAUGACCCGCACCUGCAGCACUUAUAUUAAAGUUGUAACGAUGCGCAGAGGACUAGCAUGGCCCCUGCACAAGGAUGACAUGCAAAUUUGUAAAAUGUUCCAUAUUCUG